UGGGGAAUAUUGCACAAUGGGCGCAAGCCUGAUGCAGCCAUGCCGCGUGUGUGAAGAAGGCCUUCGGGUUGUAAAGCACUUUCAGCGGGGAGGAAGGCGAUAAGGUUAAUAACCUUGUCGAUUGACGUUACCCGCAGAAGAAGCACCGGCUAACUCCGUGCCAGCAGCCGCGGUAAUACGGAGGGUGCAAGCGUUAAUCGGAAUUACUGGGCGUAAAGCGCACGCAGGCGGUCUGUCAAGUCGGAUGUGAAAUCCCCGGGCUCAACCUGGGAACUGCAUUCGAAACUGGCAGGCUAGAGUCUUGUAGAGGGGGGUAGAAGUCCAGGUGUAGCGGUGAAAUGCGUAGAGAUCUGGAGGAAUACCGGUGGCGAAGGCGGCCCCCUGGACAAAGACUGACGCUCAGGUGCGAAGCGUGGGGAGCAAACAGG
rnacentral:rRNA from 1 species